rnacentral:rRNA from 1 species
CGGGUGCACUGAUCCGGCCGGGCCUUUCCCUCUGUGGAACCCCAUGGCCUUCACUGGCUGUGCGGGGGAAACAGGACUUUUACUGUGAAAAAAUUAGAGUGCUCCAGGCAGGCCUAUGCUCGAAUACAUUAGCAUGGAAUAAUAGAAUAGGACGCGUGGUUCUAUUUUGUUGGUUUCUAGGACCGCCGUAAUGAUUAAUAGGGACAGUCGGGGGCAUCAGUAUUCAAUUGUCAGAGGUGAAAUUCUUGGAUCUAUUGAAGACUAACUACUGCGAAAGCAUUUGCCAAGGAUGUUUUCAUUGAUAAGGAACGAAAGUUAGGGGAUCGAAGACGAUCAGAUACCGUCGUAGUCUUAACUAUAAACUAUGCCGACUAGGGAUCGGACGAUGUUAUUUCUUGACGCGUUCGGCACCUUUCGAGAAAUCAAAGUGCUUGGGCUCCAGGGGGAGUAUGGUCGCAAGGCUGAAACUUAAAGAAAUUGACGGAAGGGCACCACCAGGGGUGGAACCUGCGGCUUAAUUUGACUCAACACGGGGAAACUCACCAGGUCCAGACACAGUGAGGAUUGACAGAUUGAGAGCUCUUUCUUGAUUCUGUGGGUGGUGGUGCAUGGCCGUUCUUAGUUGGUGGAGUGAUUUGUCUGCUUAAUUGCGAUAACGAACGAGACCUUAACCUGCCAAAUAGCCCGUACUGCUCUGGCAGUUCGCCGGCUUCUUAGAGGGACUAUCGG